CAGUAGCCGCGGGAAUACGAAGGGGGCUAGCGUUGUUCGGAUUUACUGGGCGUAAAGCGCACGUAGGCGGAUCGAUCAGUCAGGGGUGAAAUCCCAGAGCUCAACUCUGGAACUGCCUUUGAUACUGUCGAUCUGGAGUAUGGAAGAGGUGAGUAGAAUUCCGAGUGUAGAGGUGAAAUUCGUAGAUAUUCGGAGGAACACCAGUGGCGAAGGCGGCUCACUGGUCCAUUACUGACGCUGAGGUGCGAAAGCGUGGGGAGCAAACAGGAUUAGAUACCCCCGUAGUCCCUGUCUCUUAUAC
rnacentral:rRNA from 1 species